rnacentral:rRNA from 1 species
UACGGAGGGGCGAGCGUUAUUCGGAAUUAUUGGGCGUAAAGGGCGCGUAGGCGGCUGCACAAGUCAAAGGUGAAAUCGCCCGGCUCAACUGGGCGGGGUCAGCGGAUACGGCGGAGCUUGAGCAAGCUAGGGGCAAUGGAAUUCCCGGUGUAGUGGUGGAAUGCGUAGAUAUCGGGAGGAACACCAGUGGCGAAGGCGGUUGCCUGGGCUUUGGCUGACGCUGAGGCGCGAAAGCGUGGGGAGCGAGUCGG